GCCAGGCAUGGUGGUGCAUGCCUGUAGUCCCAGCUACUCGGGAGGCUGAGAUGGGAGGAUUGUUUGAGCCCAGGAAGUUGAGGCUGCAGUGAGCCAUGAUGGUGCCACUGCACUCCAGCCUGGGUGACAGAGAGAGACCUUGUCUCAA
ensembl:misc_RNA Metazoa_SRP Metazoan signal recognition particle RNA